rnacentral:rRNA from 1 species
AUUGAACGCUGGCGGCAUGCCUUACACAUGCAAGUCGAACGGCAGCACGGGUGCUUGCACCUGGUGGCGAGUGGCGAACGGGUGAGUAAUACAUCGGAACAUGUCCUGUAGUGGGGGAUAGCCCGGCGAAAGCCGGAUUAAUACCGCAUACGAUCUACGGAUGAAAGCGGGGGACCUUCGGGCCUCGCGCUAUAGGGUUGGCCGAUGGCUGAUUAGCUAGUUGGUGGGUAAAGGCCUACCAAGGCGACGAUCAGUAGCUGGUCUGAGAGGACGACCAGCCACACUGGGACUGAGACACGGCCCAGACUCCUACGGGAGGCGGCAGUGGGGAAUUUUGGACAAAGGGCGAAAGCCUGAUCCAGCAAUGCCGCGUGUGUGAAGAAGGCCUUCGGGUUGUAAAGCACUUUUGUCCGGAAAGAAAUCCUUGGCCCUAAUACGGUCGGGGGAUGACGGUACCGGAAGAAUAAGCACCGGCUAACUACGUG